ACUCCUACGGGAGGCAGCAGUGGGGAAUAUUGCACAAUGGGCGCAAGCCUGAUGCAGCCAUGCCGCGUGUGUGAAGAAGGCCUUCGGGUUGUAAAGCACUUUCAGUCGUGAGGAAGGUAGUGUAGUUAAUAGCUGCAUUAUUUGACGUUAGCGACAGAAGAAGCACCGGCUAACUCCGUGCCAGCAGCCGCGGUAAUACGGAGGGUGCGAGCGUUAAUCGGAAUUACUGGGCGUAAAGCGCAUGCAGGUGGUUGUUAAGUCAGAUGUGAAGCCCGGGGCUCAACCUCGGAAUAGCAUUUGAAACUGGCAGACUAGAGUACUGUAGAGGGGGUAGAAUUUCAGGUGUAGCGGUGAAAUGCGUAGAGAUCUGAAGGAAUACCGGUGGCGAAGGCGGCCCCUGGACAGAUACUGACACUCAGAUGCGAAAGCGUGGGAGCAAACAGGAUUAGAUACCCCUGGUAGACUGUCA
rnacentral:rRNA from 1 species